UACGUAGGGUGCAAGCGUUAAUCGGAAUAACUGGGCGUAAAGCGUGCGCAGGCGGUUUUGUAAGUCUGAUGUGAAAUCCCCGGGCUCAACCUGGGAAUUGCAUUGGAGACUGCAAGGCUAGAAUCUGGCAGAGGGGGGUAGAAUUCCACGUGUAGCAGUGAAAUGCGUAGAGAUGUGGAGGAACACCGAUGGCGAAGGCAGCCCCCUGGGUCAAGAUUGACGCUCAUGCACGAAAGCGUGGGGAGCAAACAGG
rnacentral:rRNA from 1 species